rnacentral:rRNA from 1 species
GACGAACGCUGGCGGCGUGCUUAACACAUGCAAGUCGAACGGAAAGGCCUGCUUUCCCUUGUGGAUUGCGGGUACUCGAGUGGCGAACGGGUGAGUAACACGUGAGUGAUCUGCCCCCAACUUGGGUAUAAGCCUGGGAAACUGGGUCUAAUUCCCGAUAGGACUGCAGGGUGGUGCCUGUGGUGGAAAACGAUUUUCUAGUGGUUGGGGAUGAGCUCGCGGCCUAUCAGCUUGUUGGUGGGGUAAUGGCCUACCAAGGCGGCGACGGGUCGCCGGCCUGAGAGGGUGGACGGCGACAUUGGGACUGGGAUACGGCCCAGACUCCUACGGGAGGCAGCAGUGGGGAAUAUUGCACAGUGGGCGGAAGCCUGAUGCAGCGACGCCGCGUGGGGGAUGACGGCCUUCGGGUUGUAAGCUCCUUUCGACCGAGAGGAAGCCACCUGGUUGGGAGGGUGGUGACGGUAGUGGUAGAAGAAGCACCGGCUAACUACGUG